ensembl:lncRNA
GGGGUAUUGUUCCGUUUUGUUAUCGAUAUCUUUUUUUAUCUUAGGAUUGUAGAAUCUCAGUCGGUAUGUUGUUGCUUACUUGCUUAUUUUAGUAAAAAUCUCAGAUUUUUUUUAAAAUCCAAAAGCAAUGAACAAAAUAUCAAGGGCACUUUGAUUAAUAGACAGACAUCUCUGAUAUGAGCUCCAGUAGAGUCUGUGCCAGUUAUGAUGAUGAUGUUUGGUGCCGAGAUGGAUAUCGGGCAGGAAGAGGAAGGUUCUGAUAUGUUUAGAUGGAUAGAUGAGCAUGUCUUGAAGGUUAGUGCUGUAGAUUAGCUGUUAGCUUGGAUUCGAAUUUGGUAACUGUGGGAAUGAAAUGAAAUGAAUGAAAGAGUAGACUUUUAUGAAAACAAUCAGUUAUGUUAGUUUCUGUCAGGAUUUCCAGGAGGCUUCCAAAGACUUUUUUUUUUUUUUUUAGUAAUGAACGACAAAAAAAUAAUUUAUCAUACUUUUAUGUACAUGUAAGACAUAAGCUAAUGAGAAAAGGUCUAAUUGAUUUGUGAGGAGAUUUCUAAUGAAGCAAGAUUUGACGGGUCCUCUUGUGCUGGUUCUGAUGUCAGUACUAAAGACACAUUAGGCAGGUUACCUAGGUUUGCAUUAUUUCACUAGAACAGAACACUACAGGGCUUUGUCCAUUACAAAUUUGCUGCAGAUGCUUUGAAUUCAGUAAUAUGAAUAUUUCCUCUUGUUUACAAUAUAUGGAUACCUUUACACUACAUGAUAACUGGCCCGUACACUAAAUGUGUGUUGUACUGAUUUUUUGUUUCUUAACAAAGGUGAAGUUUUAUCAGUAUAAUAUCUGUGGUCUGUUGGGGUGAAUAUACUGCUAAGGUUUAUAACGCAAUUGCCUCAGUAAGCAAAAUUUUUAUGGUCAAAUUUUCUGAUCAAAUACAGCAAGCUAGGCCAUAGUAAUGAAAGUUAGAGGUUACAGAAAAAAUUAAAGUGGUGAGAGAAGAAAAAAUAUAACUAUAUUUUUGCAAACAUAGUAUUGAUGGCAGACUCUAGUGGGGUACAACAGUGUUGGAGAGAGCAGUGCAACAAAAUGUUUUAUGAAUUGUGGGUACAGUGAUGGUAUUGCACGUUUCUAGAACAUUGACUAAAAUGUGUAUGUCACUUAAACAUGAUUUUAUGCUUGCUUAGUGUGCAACUGUUCAGAAUAUAUAGUAACUGUUUACUUUUUUUUUUGUAGUGGUAGUACUAAUCACACAAGUUAAUGGAUUGGUAUUUAGAUUUCUUUUAAAUGCACCCAGAAUGAAUUUAUAUCCUUUUAUUAUGAUCUCUUUUUAAUCAAUGUAUGUGCAUGUACCUUAGAACCUUAAGUUCUGUUACAUUAUAUCUCUUUACAUAUUACUUUAAAAUUGGC